rnacentral:misc_RNA from 1 species
UACGGAGGAUGCGAGCGUUAUCCGGAUUUAUUGGGUUUAAAGGGUGCGCAGGCGGCGCGUUAAGUCAGCGGUAAAAUUUCGGGGCUCAACCCCGACGAGCCGUUGAAACUGGCGUGCUAGAGUGGGCGAGAAGUAUGCGGAAUGCGUGGUGUAGCGGUGAAAUGCAUAGAUAUCACGCAGAACUCCGAUUGCGAAGGCAGCAUACCGGCGCCCAACUGACGCUCAUGCACGAAAGCGUGGGUAUCGAACAGG